rnacentral:rRNA from 1 species
GUCUACGGCCAUGCCACCCUGAACAUGCCUGAUCCCAUCUCAGAAACUAAGCAGGGUUGGGCCUGGUAAGUACUUGGAUGGGAGACCAUCUAAGAAUACCAAGUGCUGUAGGUG